CUCCCCUGUGCGCUCGCUCUACAAACCUCGGGGAGCUCACGUCUCCCGUUCCAACCUCGACGCCAGCGAGUGGCCCCAUGGCGGACGGCGGCGAGAUGGACGAGGAGGCCGCGAUGCGAGCCUUCUUCCCUGUAUCCUUCGGCAAGGCGCCCUCCCGCCCCAGCGCCGCCUCCCACUCCUCCACCCUCCGCAAGCCCCCAAACCCUAGCUCCAACCCAUCCACCUCCGCCGCCGAAGACGACGACGAUGGUGGAGGCGCCAUUAUCGGGCCUCCUAGGCCGCCGCCGGACUCGUCUCUUAGAAAGAGGGGUGACGACAAGGUGGGCGUCGGUAUGAUUGGACCGCCUCGGCCGCCUUCCUUGCGCACCCAGGCGGAGAAUGAGGACGUUGGCAUGGUUGGCCCUCCCCGGCCACCGCCAUCAAAGGAGUCUGAGGAGGAGAACGACGACGAGGACGACGAGGAUGACGAGGAUGACGAUGACGAUGAUAUGGAGGAUGAUGGGGAGGAUUUCGGUCGGAUUCCUCUCAGCAAUGAAAUUGUUCUGCGGGGCCACACCAAGGUUGUCUCAGCCCUUGCUGUUGACCCUACAGGAUCCAGAGUGCUGUCGGGUAGCUAUGAUUAUACUGUACGUAUGUAUGACUUCCAAGGCAUGAAUUCAAAACUACAAUCAUUCAGGCAAUUGGAACCAUGUGAGGGGCAUCAAGUUCGUAGUUUAAGUUGGAGUCCAACGUCGGAUCGAUUCUUGUGUGUAACUGGUUCAGCUCAGGCCAAGAUAUAUGAUCGGGAUGGGCUUUCUCUCGGUGAGUUUGUUAAGGGUGAUAUGUAUAUCCGUGAUCUGAAGAAUACAAAGGGUCACAUUUCUGGACUGACCGGUGGCGAGUGGAAUCCUAAGUCAAAAGAAACUAUAUUGACCUCAUCAGAAGAUGGAUCCCUACGUCUGUGGGAUGUUUCAGAUUUUAAAAGUCAAAAGCAGGUCAUCAAACCUAAGCUAAUAAGACCGAUGCGGAUUCCUGUUACUUCAUGUGCAUGGGAUCAUGAAGGCAAGCGAAUUGUUGGUGGCAUAGGAGAUGGUUCCAUUCAGCUUUGGACCAUCAAGACUGGAUGGGGAAGUAGACCAGAUGUUCAUGUUGAAAAAGCACAUACAGAAGAUAUUACUGGGGUGAAGUUUUCUACAGAUGGGCAGAUUCUUGUUUCAAGAAGUAUGGAUAGUACUCUAAAGAUAUGGGAUUUGAGGAAAAUGAAGACUCCUUUGAAAGUGUUUGAAGAUCUGCCAAAUAACUACGCCGAGACGAAUGCAUCAUUUAGCCCAGACGAGCAACUUGUUUUUACAGGAACCUCUAUUGAGAAAGACGGGACAAACGGAGGACUACUUUGCUUCUUUGAUAGAAGGAAACUAGAGCUUGUAUCAAGGGUGGGGAUUUCACCACAUUACAGCGUGAUAAGGUGUCUCUGGCAUCAAAGAAUUAACCAGGUAUUUGCAACAGUUGGGGACAAGAAGGAAGGUGGGACUCAUAUCUUAUAUGAUCCUUCUGUUAGUCAGAGGGGAGCUCUUGUAUGUGUUGGACGAGCACCGAGGAAAAAGUCUGUUGAUGAUUAUGAGGCGCAACCUUUAAUACACAAUCCACAUGCGCUGCCGCUAUUCAGAGAUCAACCAAGUCGUAAACGCCAAAGAGAGAAGAUGAUGAAAGAUCCUCUCAAGUCUCACAAACCAGAAGCACCUGUUAAUGGCCCAGGGUUUGGUGGUAAAAUUGGUACUACAAAAGGCAGCUUGCUGACACAGUAUCUCAUGAAGGAAGGUGGUUUAAUUAAGGAGACCUGGAUGGAUGAAGAUCCAAGAGAGGCAAUUCUGAAAUAUGCUGAUGCUGCAGAGAAAGACCCAAAGUUUAUUGCACCAGCAUAUUCUCAAACUCAGCCGAAUCCUGUCUUUGCAGAGUCCGAUUCCGACGGCGAAGAGAAAAAAUAACAUAUGGAUGGAGGAUAUUAAGUUCUUCCAUGAGUCCUGCAAACUACGGGAAACUAAAAAAUAUGCAAAUUAACUAAUGCUGGGACGUUACUUUUUUCGGAAGAUUAGCAGGGAAGAGUUGUAGCACAGGGAAACAGAUAAAAUAAGACGGGUCCAUCAAGCUCCUUGGCAAGUGAAGAAUACCGUUUUGCUGUACCAACAGUUUAACAGCCGUUAUCCAUGCACACUUGAUCACAGUUUGCACUCUGUUCGUAACUCUGAAGAUCAGUAUACUGUACUUCUGCAAAUUGUAUUGUAAGGUUUUUCUUUGGUUAAGACCGUGUUGUACUUUUAUUUUUUGACACAAGACCUUGUUGUACUUAAUUCUAGCUGUCGCCCGUUUUACAGUUUGGUACUUUGGUUCAUAUCCAGUUGCCUUUCCCCGUU